rnacentral:lncRNA from 1 species
UGGGAGUAAAAUUAUUUUUCUUUUCUUCUCUGUUUUUUUUUUAACAUCUGAUAAGGAUCGGAUCUAGCUCUCUUCUUCUUCUUCGAUUCCUCUGUCUCGUCGAUCGAAGAAGUAACCUAAAUGGACAAAGGCAAAGCAGUGAUGGGUGCUGGUCGGAGAUGGGCCGUCGAUUUCUCCGAUCAAUCAACCGUUCCAUCUUCCCGGGACAUCCUCGAUCCACCUGGCUUCUCUCGUACUUCUCCCGAACAGGUUUCUUCCUUUUCCUUCCCCGUUUCGGUAUUCAAUUUGAAUUAGAUCCAUUAGAUGUUGCUUCCAAUUGGAUUCAAUUUUAGAAAUUUUACCGAGAAUUGACUUGUGUUACUAGUGGAUUUGAUGAUUUUGGUUUGGUUGUUUUCAGGAUGAUUCAGCAACGAGCCGCCAAAAGAAAGACGCUGAAGCUACUUGGAAACUUCAGGUACUUUUAAUGUCUAAUCUGAAAGUCAGUAGUUGUCUUAAAUCGUACGGAAUCGAUCAUGGUCACUGCUAGAGUAUUUUUAAAGCCAUUGACUUUGAAGUGUUGUAGACCUUUUACAUAAGAAUUAUCCUUUUUUUUUUCUAUCUCUCAUUGUUCAAAUUUGCUUAUAGAUGGUGUGGGUAUAGUUUUUUUAACAAAAAAGUUUUUUUUUUUUGCUUGAUGAAUGAGCAGAAAGCAUGGGAAGUAGCGCAGUCACCGUUUAAGAAUCUGAUGAUGAUGGGUUUCAUGAUGUGGAUGGCUGGAAACACUGUUCACCUCUUUAGCAUUGGUAUUACUUUCUCUGCUCUUUGGCAGCCUCUCAGCGCCCUCCAGAGCGUUGGAAAGAGUAAGAAACAAGUUUUGAUCAUUUGAGUUUAUAACUUGGUUUGUGACUAUAAGUCCAGAGUCUUGCAUCCUUACGUUAUUUUCUCUUUUUUUGUUUGCAGUUUUUGAGCCAUUCAAGGAUAACAAGGUGGAACUACUUAUGCCCAAACUGGUGUUUCUUGCCCUUAACCUUGGAGGCUUAGCUUUGGGUAUCUGGAAGGUGAUUAAAAAUUUAUCCUUCCCUCAUCGUUGCUUCUUCCCCCUUUAAGAAAGUGUGAAGUUCUGGUUUCUCAUACAAACAAAUUUAACUUUUUCUCAGCUCAACACUUUGGGGCUUCUUCCAACACAUGCAUCAGAUUGGGUUUCAUCUCUACCCCCUCCUCAGGUUUGUAAUUUUUAUCUGCAGCAGAAUCUUGUGUUCAAGUGUUUCAAUUCAUCAUCUCUAAGCUGGACACAUCAUGUUUCCUCUAUUUCUUUUUGCAGGAGGUUGAACACUCUGGCGGAGGAUUUGCUUUCCACUGAUGACCAUAUGUCUCUUUGAGAUAAUUACGGAAGAUACUCAAGUGAUUUGUUCAAUCCUAUAUCAUGAGGGGAAGAUUCAUGUGGACCUUCUCAUCUCGUGAUCUUCUUGUAGCAUUUUCAAAACUCUGAAACCAUAGCUUUUUCACUUUUGAGUUUUGAUGUUCUUUGCUCAUCAUAACUAUGAAUUGUAUUAUUGGCAUUUAAGUUACCUGUUUCCCAGCUUUUUAGACAGAUAACAUUCAUACUGUUCGGAAACAUUAUACACAUCCGUAAGUUCUCUCCCUUACUGUUACACCAACAGAAGUUUAAUAUCUCAUCCGCAUCAUCUUCUGGAUCCUUCUUUAUCAGAACAUCUAUUCAAGAUCAGAAUCUGGAACGAGGAAACUGAAACACAGCGUAGUGAAUCUCAGUAUAUUCCCAAACUCGUGUCUGGUGACACAAAAAGAGUGAAGAACAUACCAUCCACUCCAUUUGGAAGCAAGCUGUCCAAAUCUAUCAUACAAAGUGCUUUUAAAAGUUCGAGUUUGAUCAUCAUGAAACAUUUUAAAUUUGAUUUGCUUCCAUCUUUUUGAAUCAUAAUAUAAUGUUAUAUAACACAUACAUGCAAAUUAUAAAAAUGUGUGUUAUUAGACAAAUCAAACAGAAUACACUAUUGUAACGUUCACAUAUCGUAAAACCCUCUUGUUCUGCAACAAUGUAGAUCUAAACUGCAGCAAAACCAUUUUUAAAGAAGAUUAAACAAUAAUCACCUUUCCUUCUUUGUUCCUUAAUCAUCAUCACUGUCUUCAUCCUUCUCUAAUCGAUCUUAACCGAGGAAUAGAUGAGCCUUGUGAACCAGAGACAAGCAUAGAACCCUAUCGUUCCCGUGAGCACAAAAAAUGCGCAAGACGCGAUGAGCAUGUACCCAAAGUAAAGCAUCGCCGACACCAGUUUUGUGAUCUGAAGUUUUGUGUGAAAGUAAAACGCGGCGUAGAGGAAGAGAUACAGAGCUGAUGAGCCUGAUGUUAGGUACGAUCUCCACCACCACAGGUAGUCCUCACUGCAAAGCUGGAAGUAGCAGAGUACUACUGUUAUCUCCGCGCAAGUCACGAUGAGGAUUACAAAGACAAGGAAGAGGAACCCGAAGAUGUAGUAGAACUGGUUGAGCCAGAUGGAUGUGAGGAUGAAGAAGAGCUCGAUGAAGACUGCACCAAACGGUAAGAUUCCACCAAUGAGGAUUGAGAAAACCGGGUUCAUGUACCAAGCUUGCUCUGGGAUUUGCCUUGGGAUUUUGUUGGUUUUCACUGGGUCAUCAACCGCUGGCUUCUUGAAACCGAGGUAAGCCCCAACAAAGACAAGAGGAACCGAGAUGCCAAACCAGAGGAAGAUCAAGGCGAACAUAGUUCCGAAGGGGACAGCACCAGAUGAUUUUUGUCCCCAGAUGAGAGCGUUUAGGACAAAGAAGAUGGAGGAGACAACCGCAGGGAACAAGAAGGCUGUUCUGAAGGCGAUUCUCUUCCACUCUGUUCCUUUGAACAUUUUGUAGAGACGUGAAGAAGCGUAACCAGCAAAGAGUCCCAUGAAGACCCAGAGCAGAAGCAUGGCCGUCAUCAGACCACCCCUAUUCGAAGGGGAGAGAAACCCGAGCAUGGCGAAGAUCAUUGUGACAAAUACCAUGCCUAAACAUUGGACCCCUGUACCAACGUAGACGCAGAGCAGAUCUGAAUUGGUUGGAAUCCUGAAAACAUCACCAUGGACAAGCUUCCAUCCUGUCUCUUCUUGAGCUUCUUCUUGUCUUCUUGAAACCGAGGUAAGCCCCAACAAAGACAAGAGGAACCGAGAUGCCAAACCAGAGGAAGAUCAAGGCGAACAUAGUUCCGAAGGGGACAGCACCAGAUGAUUUUUGUCCCCAGAUGAGAGCGUUUAGGACAAAGAAGAUGGAGGAGACAACCGCAGGGAACAAGAAGGCUGUUCUGAAGGCGAUUCUCUUCCACUCUGUUCCUUUGAACAUUUUGUAGAGACGUGAAGAAGCGUAACCAGCAAAGAGUCCCAUGAAGACCCAGAGCAGAAGCAUGGCCGUCAUCAGACCACCCCUAUUCGAAGGGGAGAGAAACCCGAGCAUGGCGAAGAUCAUUGUGACAAAUACCAUGCCUAAACAUUGGACCCCUGUACCAACGUAGACGCAGAGCAGAUCUGAAUUGGUUGGAAUCCUGAAAACAUCACCAUGGACAAGCUUCCAUCCUGUCUCUUCUUGAGCUUCUUCUUGAGUCUCAAGCUCGUUGUACCGUGAGAUGUCACGGUAAAGGGUCCUCAGCAUUAUCAUCGCCACCAUACCAGACAAGAACAGAACGAUCAUCAGAGAAUUAACGAUAGAGAACCAGUGAAUUUGGUUAUCAUUCAUCAGAAGAUACGCAUCCCAUCUAGAUGCCCACUUCACUUCACUUUCCUGAAACGGAAGCAGCAGCAGGAAAUCAGAAAAAUACUGAGAACAAGAACCAGACACAAAUCACAGAUUAUUUAUUUAUAUAUAAAAAGAACUUGCCUGGAAAUCAACAUCAUAUGUGAAGAUAAUCUCCUUCUUUGGUUCAACUUCUUGAGGGGUAGAAGAGCUAACGACCAGGCGUUUUGUGUGAGGAUCACAGGUAGUCAGACGAGUCUUCUCACUCCACUUGCCAUCGUAUUCAUGCUUAAUACUGCAAAACAAGGGAAAAACAAUCAGUACUGAAAAACAGAGAGGCACAAGAGACAAUUCAAAUCAUUGACAAGAAAUGAACCUGUAAGGUUUGACUUCAAAUCCCACAAUCCUUGCAGAAUCAGUUUGCACAUCUCUGUGAUAUCGGACUGUAAACGCCAAGUGAUUGUGCAUAAAGAACUUUUGCUCUUUGCUCUGUGUAUACAAAAUGCAGUUUAGAAAAUCAAGCUAUUUGGCCUGCUGUUUACAAUCGAAAGUUCGAAACCUACUUACCCCCUCAUACUGGCCUUUAAGACCAACAUGAUAGCCAAGCUGAUAAACAACAGCGGGAGAACCCGGAUCCCCUCUUUCAAUUGGAACCACAAGAGGAAGAUUGUCGAGGAUCCUAACACACAAGAAAAAGGACUUGUAAGAAAACAGUCAGAAGGAAAGAAUGCUCUUCCACAAAAGUAAUCCAACAAAAGUUUCUAUUCUUUUGGUCAUACAUGUUGACACGGUACUCAUCAUCAAUCUUUUCUUUGAAGGCUUUGGCUGUCUUGGCAUCAAGAGUGAUGCGGCAGAGAACAUUGCACAUCUGUGCCUCCCGCAUUUUAAACUGCAGUUGAUUCAGUUCCACAAAAAGUUAGAGAUAAAUCACAGACCGAUCAUUUAAAAGGCAAUAGAGAGACAAACCGAAUAAGGAGCAUUUUCAAUCCGGUCACCACGAAGCACUUCUCCAAGAUUCUCAGUACUAUCAACAAUCUUCUUAGGUUGGCAAAAAGGAAGCGAGUAGUAAGAGUACGGAAGCUGAGUCUUGAUGGAGGUUAGUUUAUUCACUUUAACCUUCAGCUCAUCACCCUGCAAACAUCAGAUAAAAGACCCACAUUUGAAUAUGAUUCCAACUAAUCUAGUGAAACAUGCAAGUAUACUUUGACUGAGAUUCGUAAUCAAUCAUGCACUAAGAACCUAACGUAAACAAUCAAAAUUGCAACAAUUGUGAAUCUCAAAUCAAAGUAUCAGCACACCGACUCUCAUUUACAGUAGCUUUCUCGCGGAUCUAAUCCUAAAAGGGAACUCUAACGCCAUACCAAAACCGAGAACUCAGAUCGAGGAGAUCCAAUUCAGAUCUAGAAGAUGAGAAAUUUUUAUGAUACAUUAAUGAAAAUAAAUUUGAUAUUCGAGGGUUCUUUUUGAUAUUGCUCUCGGUGAACCUAGAAUAUAUGGGAAUAGAUAAUAGUCCACUUUCGUCGGAAAAGCGUGUGAUGAUCUUUUAUAGUCGUGGGGGAAGCAGAUUCGUCAUUAUUAUGUGAAAAGCGAAAAUGUUGAAAACUUUGGAGAUAUUUUCACCUCGAAAUCCAAAAAAGAAAAGAAAAGUGUAAAUAAGAAUUUUAUGAUAUCGUGUAGUAUAUGCGUUUAGUGGUCUGAUUUUGGAUUGAUUGUUUGGGCUUAUCACGCUAAGGGUCAUCUUCUUUUGAUCAUGGGCCUUGACGGCUGAGGGCUGAAAAUCAUGUAUGUGUGUUGGGGUGUAUAGUAAUCUACUAUGUGAUGACUUUCUCCGUUUCUCGGUGCAUCAUAUCGAUGGAGCCGAACCAGCAGGCUGAACAUUUUAGCCGACUGAUCCCAAAAAUCUAAUCUGAAUCCGAGCGACUAUUGAAUUAAAGAGAUUAGAUAUCCAAAUCCGAAAAGAUAUUCAAAAAUAAUCGAAUACAUGUAUAAUUAAUUUCAUAUUUCUAAUUUACUUUUCUCAUUUUAUUUAAAAUAUUUAUAUUGAUAAUGCACAUGGUUCAAAAAUCAAAUAAUAUAUAUAUAACGAAUAUAUAAUUGCAGACAAAACUAUUUAUCACUCACUUAAAAUGUAUGUUAAACUUCUUGUUUCAUAUAUUAACAAAAAAUUCAUUCGGAGUCUCGAAACAACAAUCAUAUUACUUUUUAUUUUAUUUUUAAAAAUUUAUUUUUAAAUAUAUUAAUCGUCUCACCUAACAAAACUUAAAAAUCAGUUAAGUUAAUGGUAAUUUUUUAAAUAUCGAAUCCUUGAACAGUGAAAGUUCGAUUUUUUUUUCAAAAUCUAAUAUCUGAAUCCGACUACUCAAAUAUAAUUGAACUCUAUCUGGUAUGUGAAAAUACCAAACCCGAAAUGAUAUGUAAAUAUAUCUGAAUAGGUUCUAGACCCCAAUACUAAAAUAUCCGACAACUGGACAUAUCUGAUCCAAAUUGGAACGUGUGCAUUCGACUGCUCAGGCCUAUUGCAGAUGUUCGGAAACCAAAAAGAUAUGAAUGGGUUUUUAAAAGGCCCACAAAAUAAACUCCAGCCUCUAAUAAUGGAAUAAACGAAUCCAAGAUCCGGAUAAUAGUUGUAUCCGGGUCAAGAAAGCUCCGAACCCAAUUUGAGGAAACGGGUUUGGACUGUGGGAGUAAAAUUAUUUUUCUUUUCUUCUCUGUUUUUUUUUUAACAUCUGAUAAGGAUCGGAUCUAGCUCUCUUCUUCUUCUUCGAUUCCUCUGUCUCGUCGAUCGAAGAAGUAACCUAAAUGGACAAAGGCAAAGCAGUGAUGGGUGCUGGUCGGAGAUGGGCCGUCGAUUUCUCCGAUCAAUCAACCGUUCCAUCUUCCCGGGACAUCCUCGAUCCACCUGGCUUCUCUCGUACUUCUCCCGA